GCAGGGCUGGCUCCAGCGGCUGGGGGCCACCCACCCCAGGGAGGUCCGUGGCCUCCCCAGUGACCUGCCAGGAGGAGCAGGCAAGAGGAGCCCCGGGAGGCUGAGGCGAGCCCGGCGCCUUUAAGAAAGCGGAGCCUCCAACCCCGCCGCGCUCAGGGCACCGCUGGAGCUCGCUGUGAGGGAAGGAAGGUGAAAAUCCAGCGGGCCCCGAGAGCAGGGAAAGAGGGGCCGGUGCACCGCCAGCUCCCGCCUGCCCCGAGGGGAACGGGGGCUGGGAGGAAUGUGCUGAGCCGGGCGCUGGAGGGGGGUGGGGGGUCCCGGCUCCUGCCUUCGCUUCUUCUUUUCGUGUGUGCAGAAGUCCGAGCAGCAAAUCUCUGUUUCCUCCUCUUGUUUUGCGCGGUGCGAUGUAGGGAUUUCCUCUCCCCUCCCCCCAGCCCGGGUGGCUUCUGCAGCUGCAGCGGGGACGUUACUUUGUCUUGAUCCCCGCAGACCCGGCCGGCUGCCAGGGCGAGGGCGCGAGCUCCGGGCCGGGGGAGCCGGGGGGCAUGUAGCCGGGGCGAUGCGCGCCGCAGCCGCACCGUUUGCAUUUGCCGAGGCGGACGAGCAGGAAGAAACGGGAGUUACCCCGGCCCGCGCCGCGCGCGAGGCAGGGCCCGGCCGGCGGCGGCUCCGCUCCUCUCCCGGGGAAGGGGGAACAUGCGACUCGGCCCUAAAAAACCCAAACCCCGCCAGGCAGGUAGGGGACCCUGGCACCGGAGCAAAAUCAUAAAAUAAUCCCAGCCGAGCCGGCCCCAGGACGCAGCUUCCAGCUCCGCCGUGGAAAAAUCCGGGAUCCGGCACCAAAACCCCCCAAGAGCAGCAGUUUCCGCUUUCGGGAGAGCGAGCGGACGCAUCAAAGCAGCAUCCCCCAGAAAUUGCCCUGCUCCGAGGCGUGUUCCACCGGCCCGCGCUGCACGCCGGCUUCGGGGUCUCCAGCGCCCCGGGCUCUGCCCUGCCCUGGAUUUGGGCUUAUCCCGCAGAUCCGGCCCGGGAGGCGGCGACCUGGCGAGGAUGAGCCGGGACGCCAGGAGCAGAAGCGGGGCCCGAGCCCGCCGGAGCCCUGAAGGACGAGCGCUGCCCCGCUGAGACGCCGCCGCC